rnacentral:snoRNA from 1 species
CACACGUUUCCUUAGAUCCACCUUCGGAGUGACUCACUCUGCUGUCGCCAUCUCUCUUCUGAGAGCAGCUCUCCGCUCUUAUGGCUAUCAGGUUUUCUGUGACCCAUUUGAGUGGAGGGCGUUGGCGACUGGCAGGGUGGCUUUACAGCCGCUCAACAACUUUUCCGGUUGUCCCAUCGAAGGUGCAUGAGUCAAUUGCGUGUAACAAUAAUACUCAACCGGCGAUAUUGUGCCGUUUUGACUGUCCUGGGCCGAAAGGCUCGGAUGAUAGCCAGUCUGCGGCCUUUGCUUGAUUGAAACAAACUUAUCGAUAUGAAUAAU